rnacentral:rRNA from 1 species
AGUAACCUGCCUUGGAGUGGGGAAUAACAGCUGGAAACAGCUGCUAAUACCGCAUAAUGCAGUUGGGUCGCAUGGCUCUGACUGCCAAAGAUUUAUCGCUCUGAGAUGGACUCGCGUCUGAUUAGCUAGUUGGUGGGGCAACGGCCCACCAAGGCGACGAUCAGUAGCCGGACUGAGAGGUUGGCCGGCCACAUUGGGACUGAGACACGGACCAGACUCCUACGGAAGGCAGCAG